rnacentral:lncRNA from 10 species
AAAAGAACCCUUUUGAAUGUGAUCAAUCACGCUGAUUUAUUUGGAUGAUUUCUCUUCUGGAUUUCCUUAAACCAGGGAAAACCCAGGGACAGCAAUUGCUAUAAUUGAUGCAAACGAUCCCAGCCACACUCCCUGAUCCUGGUUCUGAAACUCAGAGAUGCAGCUGACCAGACUGAUGUGGCCAGCCUCACUCUGAAGGAUCCUGCAGCAGACAAAUUGCUGGAAUGUGUUCAGACGGAAUCCAGCUGCUACAACCGUCACACAAACUUCCUGAAAUAGAGGACAAAAGAGACAGAGGUCUUGCUAUGUUGCCCAGGCUGGUCUCAAGCUCCUGGCCUCAAGCGAUUCUCCUUCCUCAGCCUCCAAAAGUGCUGGGAUUACAGCCCUCAGGUUGAGGCCCUUCCUGGCAAAGCUGCCCUAGGCCCAGAUGUCACAUAUGCAUGACAACGUCCGGGGACCAUUUGCCCCAGCAGAUUCCCUUUCAUUUCUGAUUGGCCGGCAAGUGGCUGAGGAUCGUCUUACUCGCACCCUGGUGCUGGGCGCUGACCACCUCCCGAAGCACUUGGCCAGGGGGAGAGGAUGCUGGACACAAUCAGGUUCUCCUGGGGGGAGGAGGGAGGGAAUGGCUGCUGGAAGGGUUCUACCGGGGACUCCUACAGCAGCUUGUUAGAUCUCCUUCCUCCCAAUUCCCUGAAGUUGGUGGAACAGGAAGAGGACGAGAAG